AUGGGGGAACCCUGAUGCAGCGACGCCGCGUGGAGGAAGAAGGUCUUCGGAUUGUAAACUCCUGUUGUUGAGGAAGAUAAUGACGGUACUCAACAAGGAAGUGACGGCUAACUACGUGCCAGCAGCCGCGGUAAAACGUAGGUCACAAGCGUUGUCCGGAAUUACUGGGUGUAAAGGGAGCGCAGGCGGGAGAACAAGUUGGAAGUGAAAUCCAUGGGCUCAACCCAUGAACUGCUUUCAAAACUGUUUUUCUUGAGUAGUGCAGAGGUAGGCGGAAUUCCCGGUGUAGCGGUGGAAUGCGUAGAUAUCGGGAGGAACACCAGUGGCGAAGGCGGCCUACUGGGCACCAACUGACGCUGAGGCUCGAAAGUGUGGGUAGCAAACAGGAUUAGAUACCCUGGUAGUCCAAGGGCGAAUUC
rnacentral:rRNA from 1 species